GACGAACGCUGGCGGCGUGCUUAACACAUGCAAGUCGAACGGAAAGGCCCUGCUUUUGUGGGGUGCUCGAGUGGCGAACGGGUGAGUAACACGUGAGUAACCUGCCCUUGACUUUGGGAUAACUUCAGGAAACUGGGGCUAAUACCGGAUAGGAGCUCCUGCUGCAUGGUGGGGGUUGGAAAGUUUCGGCGGUUGGGGAUGGACUCGCGGCUUAUCAGCUUGUUGGUGGGGUAGUGGCUUACCAAGGCUUUGACGGGUAGCCGGCCUGAGAGGGUGACCGGCCACAUUGGGACUGAGAUACGGCCCAGACUCCUACGGGAGGCAGCAGUGGGGAAUAUUGCACAAUGGGCGGAAGCCUGAUGCAGCAACGCCGCGUGCGGGAUGACGGCCUUCGGGUUGUAAACCGCUUUCGCCCGUGACGAAGCGUGAGUGACGGUAAUGGGUAAAGAAGCACCGGCUAACUACGUGCCAGCAGCCGCGGUGAUACGUAGGGUGCGAGCGUUGUCCGGAUUUAUUGGGCGUAAAGGGCUCGUAGGUGGUUGAUCGCGUCGGAAGUGUAAUCUUGGGGCUUAACCCUGAGCGUGCUUUCGAUACGGGUUGACUUGAGGAAGGUAGGGGAGAGUGGAGUUCCUGGUGGAGCGGUGGAAUGCGCAGAUAUCAGGAGGAACACCAGUGGCGAAGGCGGUUCUCUGGGCCUUUCCUGACGCUGAGGAGCGAAAGCGUGGGGAGCGAACAGGCUUAGAUACCCUGGUAGUCCACGCUGUAAACGGUGGGUACUAGGUGUGGGGUCCAUUCCACGGGUUCCGUGCCGUAGCUAACGCUUUAAGUACCCCGCCUGGGGAGUACGGCCGCAAGGCUAAAACUCAAAGGAAUUGACGGGGCCCCGCACAAGCGGCGGAGCAUGCGGAUUAAUUCGAUGCAACGCGUAGAACCUUACCUGGGUUUGACAUGGAUCGGGAGUGCUCAGAGAUGGGUGUGCCUCUUUUGGGGUCGGUUCACAGGUGGUGCAUGGCUGUCGUCAGCUCGUGUCGUGAGAUGUUGGGUUAAGUCCCGCAACGAGCGCAACCCUUGUUCACUGUUGCCAGCACGUUAUGGUGGGGACUCAGUGGAGACCGCCGGGGUCAACUCGGAGGAAGGUGGGGAUGACGUCAAGUCAUCAUGCCCCUUAUGUCCAGGGCUUCACGCAUGCUACAAUGGCUGGUACAGAGAGUGGCGAGCCUGUGAGGGUGAGCGAAUCUCGGAAAGCCGGUCUCAGUUCGGAUUGGGAUCUGCAACUCGACCUCAUGAAGUCGGAGUCGCUAGUAAUCGCAGAUCAGCAACGCUGCGGUGAAUACGUUCCCGGGGCU
rnacentral:rRNA from 1 species